AUGGUGAAAAGAUUAUCUUAAGCUUGGAAUUAAGUGAUGAAAGGGACCUUAGAAAUGAUCAACUCUAAAUACUUCUUUACAGGAAAAUUGAAAGCAGUUAAGAACCUGCCCCCUGCCAUGGAGUUCUUGGUGCCGUGAGUUGGAGUUUUUGGUGCCUGGGUGCAUCCCCAAGGCCACUGGUCUUCAGAUGUUUCUUACUUGAGAAGAACGCCUCCGCCUCCUGGCUCUCCCACCAGUGGUACUGCUACCACCACACACCAGCAUAAAGCACAGAUUGCUGCCCAGCUCCUUGGAGAGGGGCCAGUGCAUUUGUCAGGAAUUGAAAAGUUUUGGAGCCAGUUCGAGGACUUUCUGCUGCACAAAGUGUUGGCUGGAAGCAUGUUUGUCUCUCUAUCGUUUCUCUUGGAGAGGUUGAUACAUUGAUGAGCUACGGAAAGCAAGAGGGAACAUGCCCAUCUAUUAAGAGGAGAAGAGAGACUAAAACAUACACAUUCACUAAGGAAGAGAAAGCCAAAUGUGAGAAACAAUAACACAUGGUUUGCCAAAGAAUCUGCAUUGAAUAAUACUGGUGGUGACCACAGGAACAUGCCUCUCUGACUGCAAGGAACAAGAGUGACCCAGGGUUUCAGCUGCUGCCUUGGAAAUUCAUCACAGUGCGAGUCUAUGCUUCCCACGGGCUGCUCCCAGCCUGUGAAUAAGCCUGGCAACUUUGUUGAGGCAGGCCUAUUUCUGGAGAUGCAGGAUCCUCCGAUGGGCGAAUUUGGCUCUAGGACUGCUUGAUGGCCUUGACAGACUUUCCUUAGAAAUGCAUGGCAAUUUAGGAUUCCUCCACCCUUCCCUCUUUCUCUCCUUCACCUAGGGUCAGACUUGCAUCAUGGCCUGAAAGUUCCCCCAGCCUCUCCUGCCCUCCUCCUCAUUUUCUUUCACAGGCAUAUCCUCUAAUAAAUUUCUUGCACAUUGAAUCUCAUCUUGGCAUCUACUUAUUGGAGGAUCCGAAAAUUCACAUUUUUAACACAAUAAUAAAAUUCACAUUUUUUCAUCAUCCACUAUAUGCCAAGUAAUGUGUUACUGUGUAGUCUCAUUAAAUCCUCUCAAAUCCAAGAGAUAAGAAUUACAUUUAUUUUACAAGAAGAAAAGCAGUCACUCUGAGAGGUAAAAUAAUGUAUAUGGCAGUAGAUUGCAGAGUUAGCAUUUGAAGAAUGUUCGGUUCUACUCCAAAGCCCACCACAAAACUCCACCACUAAA